rnacentral:rRNA from 1 species
GAUGAACGCUGGCGGCGUGCCUAAUACAUGCAGGUCGAGCGAACGGACGAGAAGCUUGCUUCUCUGAUGUUAGCGGCGGACGGGUGAGUAACACGUGGAUAACCUACCUAUAAGACUGGGAUAACUUCGGGAAACCGGAGCUAAUACCGGAUAAUAUUUUGAACCGCAUGGUUCAAAAGUGAAAGACGGUCUUGCUGUCACUUAUAGAUGGAUCCGCGCUGCAUUAGCUAGUUGGUAAGGUAACGGCUUACCAAGGCAACGAUGCAUAGCCGACCUGAGAGGGUGAUCGGCCACACUGUAACUGAGACACGGUCCAGACUCCUACGGGAGGCAGCAGUAGGGAAUCUUCCGCAAAGGGCGAAAGCCUGACGGAGCAACGCCGCGUGAGUGAUGAAGGUCUUCGGAUCGUAAAACUCUGUUAUUAGGGAAGAACAUAUGUGUAAGUAACUGUGCACAUCUUGACGGUACCUAAUCAGAAAGCCACGGCUAACUACGUG